ACUCAGGAAAAGAAUUUUAGUUCUGCCUAAGCACUCUACAAUAAUAAUAAAAUUUACACUUUGCUUUAGAGUAAUUCAAACAAGGUUCAGCUUGUUUGAUAUAGGAUACAACCUCAACUAACGGGUAAUUUUUACACUAAUUAUAGCCUAGUUGGCCUAAUAGCAGCCACCACUAAAAGCGUCAUAGCUUACCUCUCCACCACAACCAAUAACUUUAAUUUUACCAAACCCUUCAUCAAUACUGAGUAGUUCUAUACUGGUAUAGAAGCUUUUCUGUUAAAACUAGUAACAAGAAAACAAUUUUCUCCCCGAUAUAAGCAUAAGUCAGUCUGUACCCCACACUGACAAUUAAUAGACCUAAACCUAAAGUAAUAACUCCACAAGAAAACACUACUCCCCACCCUAUUAACCUAACACAAGAACAUCUCAGGAAAGAUUAUAAAAAAAAGAAGGAACUCGGCAAACACUAAUCCCGCCUGUUUACCAAAAACAUCGCCUUUUGACACCCUCAUAAAAGGUCCAGCCUGCCCAGUGACUUUGUUCAACGGCCGCGGUAUCCUAACCGUGCAAAGGUAGCGUAAUCACUUGUUUUUUAAAUAAAGACUAGUAUGAAAGGCAUCACGAGGAUAAAGCUGUCUCCUUUUUUUGAUCAGUGAAACUAAUCUUCCCGUGAAGAAGCGGGAAUAUUUUAAUAAGACGAAAAGACCCUAUGGAGCUUUAAACAUUAUAGCACCUGUCAAUCCACCUCCCCCCACCUCAGACAUCAUUGACUAUAAGUUUUCGGUUGGGGCGACCACGGAGUAAAAUAAACCCUCCAAGUUGAUUAUACCCAUAAGCCCAGAGCCACAGCUCCAAGCAUUAAUAAAUUAACAUCAAUUGACCCAGUAUUCUGACCAACGAACCAAGUUACCCUAGGGAUAACAGCGCAAUCUACUUCAAGAGUCCCUAUCGACAAGUGGGUUUACGACCUCGAUGUUGGAUCAGGGUCUCCUAGUGGUGUAGCCGCUACUUUAGGUUCGUUUGUUCAACGAUUAAAACCCU
rnacentral:rRNA from 1 species